rnacentral:rRNA from 1 species
UACGAAGGGGGCUAGCGUUGCUCGGAAUUACUGGGCGUAAAGGGCGCGUAGGCGGUUCUAUAAGUCAGGCGUGAAAUUCCUGGGCUUAACCUGGGGGCUGCGCUUGAGACUGUGGGACUUGAGGUCAGAAGAGGGUCGUGGAAUUCCCAGUGUAGAGGUGAAAUUCGUAGAUAUUGGGAAGAACACCGGUGGCGAAGGCGGCAUCCUGGACCAAUAUUGACGCUGAGGAGCGAAAGCCAGGGGAGCAAACGGG